rnacentral:lncRNA from 1 species
CUUUUUUGGAAGAAGUUCGACUUUAAUAAAAGAAGCAGUAGUCACAAAGAAGAACCGCAGCUUUACAAAACAUUUCCACAUGGCUUAUCAGUUCUAAGCUGUUAGUUGACAGUAAACAUAUGGAGGAAACUACAGUAUUAAGGCAAAGAUUUAAAAGGCCCCAUAAAAAUACCCGUAUAUUUAAAUAAGAAAUUUUCCAGACCCUCAUACCUGGGUAAAAUCAAAGCACAUGUUAUUAGAUGCCUUUUAGUUUUUAAGAAAGAAGUUAAUCUGCCAUUUCCCCCAUCAUUAAUAAAGCAUGUGGUUACUUUUAUGGCUGUCUACCUACUCAGAUGAUUGGGGGUUUCUGAUAGAGUUUUCUAGUAAGGAUAAAUGCACUGGAGAGAAAAACAUGAAAAAAUCGUGAUUCAGUAACAGAAGCAGAAAACUUUAUAACAUUUUUUCAUUGGGAAGAUUAACUUCUAUAUCAUAUGAAUUGUCUCUAUCAUGAACAGCAUCAUACUAGAGAUAGAAAUGGAUUCUGUUAGUCUUCAGUCACUUUUAUGAAACAAAGCAGAGUGAUUUAAUUAUAUAUUCUGAGACUCCAAAUAAACUCUCCUUUUCUUGGCUCUUGCAAUUUUCAAUAAAUAUACACUAAGAGGUACAACUUUGGAGUUUCUUAACAAGUUCCCAAAAAAAAUUUCUGAUUUGUCAAUUUGUCUAAAUUCACUUAGAAAAAAUAUUUAAAGGAUGAUAUACCAGAGUACACAUCAGCAGAGUAUCUUAAACAAAUUUUCAAAUACUCUCAUUUGCUUUUGACAAAAUCCAUAGUACAUUCUAAUUUACAGUGCUGCAAAACAAGGAUGUCUUCUAUUUUUUAAAAUUUUUAUUUGACUUUGAAAGGUAAUGAACUUUGCAAAAAAGUAAAAUACUAAAUUAUGAGUAACAAGUGAUUCCAGUUAGGUCCCAGGCCUAAAAUCUGACUUCCCUCAGCUCAAAGAACUGACACAUCCUCUAAAAACACAAACUAUUUUUCUUGCAUGUUUAUAAGUGUUCAUGUAAGUGUGGAGCAAUAAGUUUUUCUUCUUCAUUCAAAACCUGGAAUAUUUUGGUUCCAAUUUGCAUUUUUCAUUGUCCUUCCACACUUUGGAAUCUUAACAACACGCUGGUGAAAAUCUCCUAAGCCGUAGCUCAGUGUUGCCAGCAGCCCUUGAAUAAGUUUUUCUUUACUUGGUGAAGGUUAAGAACAUUCUUUUUAAUGGGCCCAUUAAUGGAUAUUAUCUAAAUUGGAUUUUCAUACUCCUGUAGCUCCAGCUGCUCUGAAGGCUGAGGAAGGGAGGAUUACUUAAGCCCAGGAGUUCAAGGCUGCAGUGAGCUAGGAUCAUGCCAUUGUACCCCAGCCCAGGUGACAGAGCAGGACCCUGU